ACGAUGAACCACUUCGGUGGGGAUUAGUGGCGAACGGGUGAGUAACACGUGGGCAAUCUGCCCUGCACUCUGGGACAAGCCCUGGAAACGGGGUCUAAUACCGGAUACUGACCCUCGCAGGCAUCUGCGAGGUUCGAAAGCUCCGGCGGUGCAGGAUGAGCCCGCGGCCUAUCAGCUUGUUGGUGAGGUAAUGGCUCACCAAGGCGACGACGGGUAGCCGGCCUGAGAGGGCGACCGGCCACACUGGGACUGAGACACGGCCCAGACUCCUACGGGAGGCAGCAGUGGGGAAUAUUGCACAAUGGGCGAAAGCCUGAUGCAGCGACGCCGCGUGAGGGAUGACGGCCUUCGGGUUGUAAACCUCUUUCAGCAGGGAAGAAGCGAAAGUGACGGUACCUGCAGAAGAAGCGCCGGCUAACUACGUGCCAGCAGCCGCGGUAAUACGUAGGGCGCAAGCGUUGUCCGGAAUUAUUGGGCGUAAAGAGCUCGUAGGCGGCUUGUCACGUCGGUUGUGAAAGCCCGGGGCUUAACCCCGGGUCUGCAGUCGAUACGGGCAGGCUAGAGUUCGGUAGGGGAGAUCGGAAUUCCUGGUGUAGCGGUGAAAUGCGCAGAUAUCAGGAGGAACACCGGUGGCGAAGGCGGAUCUCUGGGCCGAUACUGACGCUGAGGAGCGAAAGCGUGGGGAGCGAACAGGAUUAGAUACCCUGGUAGUCCACGCCGUAAACGGUGGGCACUAGGUGUGGGGCAACAUUCCACGUUGUCCGUGCCGCAGCUAACGCAUUAAGU
rnacentral:rRNA from 1 species